rnacentral:rRNA from 1 species
CCUUCGCCUGUUUUACAAAAACAUGUCUUAUUGAAUAAUUUAUAUUAAGUCUGCCCUGCUCAAUGAUUUAUUAAAUAGCCGCAGUAUCUUGACUGUGCAAAGGUAGCAUAAUCACUUGUCUUUUAAUUGAAGGCUUGAAUGAAUGGGUUGAUGAAAAUUAUGCUUUCUUUACAUUAACUUGUUGAAUUUAACUUUUAAGUUAAAAGGCUUAAAUUUUUUAAAGGGACGAGAAGACCCUAUAGAAUUUUAUUACUUAUUAAUAAUUAAAUAAUUUGGUUAUUUUUUAUUAAUAAUUUAUAAGUAAUUUUAUUGGGGCGAUAUGAAGAUUAUUUUAACUCUUCAAUUUAAUAGUUUAUUUAUAAAUAAUUUUUUGAUCCUUAAUUUUGGAUAUUCAAAUUAAAUUACCUUAGGGAUAACAGCGUACUUCUUUUGGAGAGUUCUUAUCGAUGAAGGAGUUUGCGACCUCGAUGUUGGAUUAAAAUUUGGAUUAAGUGCAGAAGCUUAAUUUCUAGGUCUGUUCGACCUUUAAAAUUUUACAUGAUCUGAGUGCAACC